rnacentral:snRNA from 1 species
GUGCUCACUUCGGCAGCACAUGAUACAGAGAAGAUUAGCAUGGCCCCUGUGCAAAGAUGACACACAAAUUUGUGAAGCAUCCCAUAUUUUU